rnacentral:lncRNA from 1 species
AAAGAAAGAAAGAAAGAAAGAAAGAAAGAAAGAAAGGAAGGAAGAAAGAAAGAAAUGAAAGAAAAGAAAAGAAAAAAGAAAGAAGAAAAAGAAAAAAAGCUUGGGUGCAUUUUGGAUGAGGAACUGAAAUGAAGGUUAAUGCCUGAUAUCUUGAUCACUAACUAAAAUAAGACAGAUCAGGAGUACAGGGCGUGGCCAGGAGGAAGUGGCUGUGGUAUAGAAAAGGCCACAGGAAGAGGAGGCUCUGGUGCCUAGGGAGUGGUUCCGGACUCUGGAGAAGAGGGCAUGGUAUCUAGAGAGCAGAAAGGUCUCCAGGAACCAUCUAAGGAUCUUUGAUUGUCCGAUUUUUACAUCAUCACUGAAAGAAAAGAAAGCCUUGUGGUUAUCAUAGGAACUGUCUCAUAUACCACAAAAAUCUACCAGCAAUAUAGUUCCUCCUGGUGGCUAAGGCUGUUUGUGUCCCUGGUUUGGGGCCAGUGAGACUUGACAAGGAACACUGAUGGGAAACAGUUGGCGGGAGGAUUCUUCACUUCUGAGCCGUAGCCCAAAUGGAGGUUUCAGGCUCCUGACGUCUCGUGUUCUUCCUCUCAGGAAGACUGUCCCAAGGACUUUCUUCUAGUAGCUGUCUGGAGAGGAUGACUUGACGCAUGUGCACCCCUGCAGACGGAUGCUUGGGGACAAUACUUCCGGUGUGGGGAUGGGGAGGUCAUUGGAAGGGAAAGGAAGGGAAAAAAAGACAGUGGAGGAUAGCAUAACCAGAAUUUAUGUAUAUAUCAUUUGCACAAUAACAAAAUAAAUCAAUUACAAAACAGAAAAAUCUGCAUUCAUUUUUUUCCAUGGCUGAAUAUUCACCUGCAGACAGGUUUCUCACCCUCUCACUCACCUGUCGAUAGACACUCUUUGUUUACAGCGUGGUUAGCCAGAAGAGGGCUGCUUGCAUACUUUUCUCUCGAGAUACCUGUUCAAAUCACUUCCAGUUCUCUCUUGGGUACAAAAAUGAAAUUUCUGGGUCAUGUGGUAGUUUCAUCUCCAACUUGUAGAAAUCACCAAACUGCUUCCUGCAGUGGCUUUGGCAUUUGCCAUGCUCAUGAAGGUCAUGUGUCCCCUACAUUCUCACCAACUCUUAUUUUCCACUUUGUUCUGUUUCCUAACUUUCCUAGCAAAUGAAGAGUGGUGUCUCACCCUGGC